GAAAUUUCUUUUUCCUUCUUCACCUCUUUGAAAAAAAAAAAAAGAAAAACAGAGCAAAAAGAAAAAUCUCUGUCAAUGAAAAUCUAUCAUUUUCUCUGUUUCUGAAGAUUCACUUUUCCAAAUUCAAAACCCUAAUGUCUAUACGAUCUGAUUUUAUAGCAGUGCUUUUCGGAAUGCAACUUUUUUUUUGUCAUUUUCUGUUUGGUUGCACAGAAAGAGAAAGGUAAGGUAACGAAAUUUUGAAAAUUUCUUGUUCCUGGUUGUCUAUUUUUAUUAUUUUGGAAUGGUUCAUUUUGAUUCAUGAUGCUAGUGCUUUUUCAUGAGUUUAAUUGGAUUUUAAAUUUUAGAGCUUUUAUAGAUGAUGUGGGUUUUUUUGUUUUGGGGGAGGCGAGUUUACUGAUCAUAAGUUGAAAUUUGAUGUGUAUUAAAUUUUUUGGGGGUUUGCAAAAGCUAAGAAAUUUAAUUUAUAGCUAUAAUUGGUGAAAAUUGUUGCAUGAUUAGAGCUAAAAUCCAAUAGAUUUGAAUUUAUUUUUGCAUGUUUUAGUUGGCGUGACUGUUUAUCUGAUAUUGGCGUGGUCUGUUUUUAUUCUGUUUGACCUUUUUUUAAAGAUCUUUACUAGUUUAGAUGGAACUUGAAUUUAUUUUUGGUGCAUUUGUAUUUUAUCAGACAUAUCGAGACCCCAUUAUCUAAAAUGUUUUGAAAUUUUAUCAGUUCCUAGACAAUUAUUGGGAUCUAAUUAGAUGUAUGCUGAUGAAAUACAUUAAUGAUAUGCUUUGACUCUUUGGGUUAUUGGUGAAGACAUUUAGAAUGAAAGAAUCAUGAGCUAUUUGGAAUGAAAUUAAUCAUUUUUAAUAGAUUUGUCGUUAGUGGUGGAAAAUUAAAGAGUUAAAUGAGAUGUCGUUUUACUUUAUGCUGUUGUUACUUUUCAUUUUCUUUUCUGUCCCUAUAUAGUGUGAUGUGAGGUGAGAGACAAAGCAGAGAAACUUCUAUUUUCUCCAGCUAGUUUUCCUCUAAGUUCGAUGCAAGGGAAAAGAAGGGAAAACUCUCUUUCUGGUGAUAUUUUCUUCAUCCUGUUCCAAGUCCAAUGUGGCUUUACAAAUUUAUAUUGCUUUUCUUUGUUAUUGACAAUUAGGAAUUGUCCUUAUAUGAUUCUUAAUUUUGAUUGGUAGAAAUGCAUGACUAAGAAGAGGGUGUAAGCAACCAAUAUUGUUUUGAUUUGAUAUGGACUCUAUGGUUAAUAUGGGACUCUACUUUGGGUGUUUGGGGACAUUCUAUGUUUUUGUGUCUGCUUUGGGCCCAAUUUUAUAAAUUAGGUUCCACCGGCAAGAAAGAUCGCGAAGUUUCUUGCACAAAUGAUUUAGUUUCCAUAAGUGUAUUUACUUCAAUAAUGAUGCUAAACCAUUAAAUUUACAUUUGUGAUUGAGAAGAAUUUACUCUAUUUUAAAAAAUCAAAAUUGCUUUAUUCCACCUGGUCUUUUUCCCUUUAGGUUUACUCAAUGUGCUUUCUGGCUUUAAAGGUUCCCAAACUGAUCCUCUCACAUUCAUGUUCUGGUUUAGAAUCUUAAAUACUUGAUUGCUAAUUUGACCAGGAACGGAAUUGGGUGUGUUGGUAGACUAUGGAACAAGAAUAAAAACAAAAAUGAAGCUGACAAUGCUGCAGAAGACUUGGCAAAAAGCCCAAUUUUAUUUAAGGCUAAAUCUGAUAUUGCAAAGUCAAUGGCCAAGAAUUUCUUGAAGACAAGGAAAGCCACUGGCACUUCUGAGGUCCGGAGGAGAAAGCCAAAGAAGAAAAACAAGAGUGUAUUAGAGGGCAAUAAAGCUACUGAAGAUAAUGCUAACAAGCUAAAUUCAAGGAAAGAAAACCAGCAAGAGGAUGCUUCAACCAGUAAAGAGUGCCUAGAGAAGAGCUAGCAGAUACAAAAGAAUGAAGAAAAUACAUAUGCAUCAGAUGUCCAGGAAAAUAGCUGUAAGUCAAAUGACAGUCCCAAGAAGAGAAGAAGGGAAAAGGAGCCCAGCUUUUUUAAUAAAAACUAAAAGAAUGAAGAAAAGCGGGACGGUAAGAAAAAGAGAAAAUGGAAUGAGCAGAAGGAAAAACACAGUAGGUCAGAGAAGAAUAGCAAGAAUAUAGAAAAGUGCGAUAAGGGAGUGAAACAAGAAACUAAGAAGAAGGAAAAGAUAGAUGGUCUGAUAUUUAUGUGCAAUUCAAAGACCAAGCCAGCCAGAUUGUUUCCAAUAUUGUGUUGGGUAUCAGACGAGGGCUUAAGCAUUUUCUCCAUGAUUAUGAUCUCAAGCUCACGUAUGGGAUUUAUAAGGCAUCCUCUUCUGGUGGCAUGAAACUUGAGCCAAAGGCUUUUGGUGGUGCUUUCCCCGCUCAGUGUCCAUGCUGAUUGUUUUCUGCAGAGAGCAUUUUCAAGAAGGCAAUGAAGGAAAAUUAUAAUGAAAAGCACAAAUUCAAAACUGAACUUGCCGCUAGACAAGUUCGGAAGCUCACUGAACUUUUUCGACCAGUUGGAGUUCAUUCAAUUGCACUGCCUGCUUACUCCCUGUCAAGGGCAGCGGCUGGAAUCAUUGAACGCUCUGACAACAGGGAAGUUCAUGAUAGACCAAGGGAAGCAAGGCCCCCUUCACACACAGAAGCGUUUGCUAGAGAUCCUUAUGUCAAUAUCAGUGCUAGAAAUUACUCCGUUUCAUCUCAUUAAAAGGAUCAGCAAAUUGCAUAUGGAGAGUUGGCAUAUAGUCGGAGGGAGGACAGUCAUUGUGAUUUAUACCAUAGUAAGAAGGAAUACAUGGCUUAUGGUCUUCAGGGAGAGAGAAGAAACUUGACUCUUUAGCUUCUUAUCACUCCAGCAUUAGCAUCUUACCGUGGAGAUUGCAAAGAGAAGCUUCUACGACAACAAGACAUCGUAGAGAGGGAAUCCAUGGCUAUGCAGAGACAUAUAAUUCACUCUGAUCCUCUUUACUUGACUGAGAGAGAGUAUCAGACUUACGAUUUGGGUGCUACACGAGAAAUGCAAUCAACAGUUUCUGCAGCGUCUGCAAAUACAUCUGUAGCUGCUGCUUCUACUUUGGACUCCUAUACUACGAAUCCAUAUUAUAGUCGAUAUCAUGGUGCUUCAUUGGUUGACUCUUAUCUGCCACGUCCAAGAGCAGAGGCACCUGAUUGAGACUCGUCAUUUGAGGAGGAAAGAAAGCAACAAAGUGGAUAGAUUGUAUUCCGCAUAUGCUUCUGAUGCUUUUGCAGAUUACAACCAGAUGUAUCUACUUCAAGAUUUUAAGCGUGAAGCUGCUUCUGCAUCAGUUUCAUCCCUGUAUUCUUUUAGUGGUGCGUCAUUGUCUUAUUGCUGAGAGUUUGAUUAUCUGUCCUUUCAUGCCCCUAACAUAAGACAUGUCAUUUGUUU